AGAAUGACACUCCAGGUGGAAUGGCUUCCCCUGUGGAUCCGGUGGCCUCUGUGAGUCAGAGGUGUGCCCACAAUGCCGGAGGCUCCGUUGCAGUGGGUGUGUUACUCA
ensembl:miRNA Mir6387 microRNA 6387